AUUUUAUGUCAUCCUGAUUCAGCUGCUUUUCUAGAGGAAAUCAUUGAAUUCAAAACUAGUAUUUAGAUACUUUUAGUUUUACUUGUUUUGGCCUUCCCUAUCCAAGGUGUGAAAAAUGGCAAUUUCUAUAUUUCUGGGAAAUUAAUUUUCAGGAUUGACUUUGGUCCAGUAACCUGAAGUGCUAACAUAGUCCAUAUGUCUGACUGGUGAAGCUUGACUGAAAAGUAUGAAAGUUCUAGCAAAAGUCCAUUUUUUCUGCUCCUUUUGGUAAAUUGCAGGAUUCCAUUAUAAUGAUGAUAAUCCAUGGUUAUUGGUGUCCGAACACUGAUCCCCAGUGAAGCUGGGAUGAAGUGAGAGACGGGAAGAAAAGAAAAAGAACUCAGAGUUUUACAGUUUUUGGGAAUAUUCAGGUGAUAAAUACAUAAUUCAGAAAUUUAGAGUGGUCUGUUUUACAAAAUACU
rnacentral:lncRNA from 1 species